rnacentral:rRNA from 1 species
AUUGAACGCUGGCGGCGUGCUUAACACAUGCAAGUCGAUCGGUAACAGGUGUAGCAAUACAUGCUGACGAGAGGCGGACGGGUGAGUAAUGCUUGGGAAUCUGCCUAUUAGUGGGGGACAACCCGGGGAAACUCGGGCUAAUACCGCAUACGCUCUACGGAGGAAAGCCGGGGACCGCAAGGCCUGGCGCUAAUAGAUGAGCCCAAGUCGGAUUAGCUAGUUGGUAGGGUAACGGCCUACCAAGGCGACAAUCCGUAGCUGGUCUGAGAGGACGACCAGCCACACCGGAACUGAGACACGGUCCGGACUCCUACGGGAGGCAGCAGUGGGGAAUAUUGGACAAUGGGGGCAACCCUGAUCCAGCGACGCCGCGUGGGUGAAGAAGGCCUGCGGGUUGUAAAGCCCUUUCGGUGGGGAAGGAAAAGUCUCGACCUAAUACGUCGGGACCUUGACGUAACCCACUAAAGAAGCACCGGCUAACUCUGUGCCAGCAGCCGCGG